rnacentral:lncRNA from 1 species
AUGGGAUGAGAGGAAGAAAAACGGGAAGGAAGCAAUGAAAAAUCUUAAGAAACUGCUGAAUAAAAGAGCAGGCCUGAAAGAAUUACAAUGGUGGAGACUUUGAUGUACGAAUAGUUAGAAGAGCGGAAGAGGAGAACACAUAACUCAGCCCUAGAUUGCACCCUCAAGAAAUCAUGUUGAGAUUCCCAACAGAGCACAGCAUGAGGUAUUUGGAGAAACAUGACAUUUUUCCUGAUGUGCACUGAGCAGAGGCUGAAGAGGAGGAGCAGAGGCCAGAG